CUCCUCCCCUUCCCCGUCUCCUCUCUCCUCCCUCUGUCCCCUCGCCUGUCCCUUCCUCCUCUCCCUCUUGCCCUCCAGUAUCUUUGCCGCCUCCUCCCUUUGCAGACACACUGCACACAGGCCUCUCCCGGGCCCUGCUUUCCUUUGAACCAUACCUUGUCUCUCUUCCCAUUUUCGGGAAAACUUCCAAAGAAUUGGCUGUGGCGGACACCCUAUCUUUCUGGCUCUGUGACCUUCCCCUUCCAGCUCCUGCCCCCAACAGCCUGCACCCCUGUUCUGACAGGCCGUCUGCACCUCUCGGUGCCUGCCCUCCUGACCGCUGUCCUGUGGGCCUGGCCUGUUCCAUGCCUUCUGUCCAUGAACCUGCUGUCCACGUUGUGCUGCCCUCCAGCUUGGCCACACUGGUUCCUGCUGCCUGCAGCUUCCAUUCUAAUAGGCGUGGGGCGGAUUGCAAACAAAUCAACUAACGAAUACAUAAGAAAGGUAGGGUGAUUGUCACUGGGUCAGUGCCUGCUGGGUAAGGCCCCAUCCUGACAGGUGACCUGUGAGCCUAGAUCCUUCAGGUGGAAGGAGCGGCCUGGGAAGUCCCGGGGGAAUUGGCGAGCAGGGGGCAGGGAGCGGGUGAUGGGCCCUCCUCCCAGGUCGGGGAGGGUCUGCACUCUCUUGCCUGGUCAGAAGGACUGGGCAGGAGGGAGGUGAAGAGGGUGUUUCUUAGCCCUGCGGGAUCCCCUUGGAGAGGAAGUUUUCCUGAGAAAGGGAGGGUCCCAUGGAGGAAGAGUCAACUCCAGAUGCUCCCUAAGCCCAGAGAACAUGGAUUCCAGGAGGGAAAAUCAGCAGGAGAACAGCAGAGCCCAAGGGACUAAACAUGGAAGAAGGUGAAAUACCCAACCAAGGCCAGAGGCCAGGGUCCUGGUUAGGAAAGCUGGAGGCCCUGGCAGACGCAGUGGAGACACCUGGGCAGAUAUUCCUGAGUCCCCAGACUCUUCCCGGAGCCUCCGAGCCUGUGAAAUCAGCUCCUCCUUGGGCACUGGGCCUGGGAAAAGGCCAGCUCACCGGCACAUGCUGGGCUACUGCAGGACACAGCUAGUCCUGGCAAGAGGGCAGCUCUGGCAACCACGAUGUCUUUUCUGUAUCUGUGGAUUCCCUGUUCUGGACAUUUUCACGUUUCCCAGGCUCGUCUCUGUCGCAGCGAGUGCCUGGGGAUGAUGUUUGCGCUGCGCACUGGGCCUCGCUUUGCUGGGAACGUUCGCCGCCCGCAUUUGCCUGAGGCGUCUUCGGCUCUCCGGGGACUGCGCCCCAGAGGGGAAUUUCUGGGCCUGUGGGAAUUCCGUGCUCACCUUUCUGAGGAAGCUGCUUUUGCACCGCGGCUGCACCCAGCCCGACAAUGCACGAGGGGGUCCAAGGCCUCCCCCUUCUCGGCGCACUUCUUUCUGCUUUUCUGAAAUCACAGCCAUUCUGGUGGAUGUGC